rnacentral:misc_RNA from 1 species
GAUGAAGAACGUGGCGAAAUGCGAUAAGUAGUGUGAAUUGCAGAAUUCAGUGAAUCAUCGAAUCUUUGAACGCACAUUGCGCCCCUUGGUAUUCCAUGGGGCAUGCCUGUUCGAGCGUCAUUUGUACCUUCAAGCUUUGCUUGGUGUUGGGUGUUUGUCUCGCCUUUGCGUGUAGACUCGCCUUAAAAUAAUUGGCAGCCGGCGUAUUGAUUUCGGAGCGCAGUACAUCUCGCGCUUUGCACUCAUAACGACAGCGUCCAAAAGUACAUUUUACACUCUUGACCUCGGAUCAGGUAGGGAUACCCGCUGAACUUAAGCAUAUCAAUAAGCGGAGGA